AUGUCCGCCGCCGCCGCCGCCGGCGGGGCUGCCCCCCUCGUCACCGCGGCGUUCACCGCGGCGUUCCUCCUCCCCCUCCGCCUCCUCUCCCUUGCCUUCAGCCUCCGCCUCCCCACCUUCCCACCCGUCGCUCCGGCCCGCCGCUCCGCCGCGGCGCUGCUGACCGUCGCGGCGCUCCUCACCGUCACGUGCGCCAUGCCCGACGCGGGAUCCAGCCCCGCCCCCGACGCUGAGGCCCUCCGGUCGGAGAUCAGCGAGCUCAGGCUCAAGCUCUCGCGGCUAGAAUCUAUUUUGGAGGAAAACACAAAAACUUCGAGGAGUAAAGCCUACACUUUGGAGGAGGGAAACAAACCCACCGAGGCAAUGGAAACUGACAACCAGCUUUUAAGGAAUGAAGAAUCUUACUCUGAAAGCAACAUAUAUAUAAUGGAGGAUGAGGCGCAAAUCCUGCAGCAAGAGGUCAGAAAGAUAAACAACAUUGCAUACACCAUAGAAUCACUGGCAAUUAAUGCUGAGAAAAGGGUAGAGUUCCUGAGUUCGGAAGUCAAAAAGAUUGAGAGUAUAAUUACAGAGCAAUGGAUCCAGAUACGGCAAUUUGAACAAGCAUUUGUGGUAACAAAGAUGAUGACUUCGAAAGUUCAUAAAAGGAGGUUCUCUGAGGGUGCCUACAAGUGGUCUGGAAAGGACAUACUUCUGAAGUAUGUCAGGAAUGUUGAUCUACAUGGCAUGUUUCUUGCGGGGGUAUCGCACACAAGGACCUGCGUUUCUCAUACUUAUAAACACUGCAAGAGUUUCAUACAAGUAAUGAAGAGAUGCUACCAUAAGGCUUCCAAGUUCCACAAAGCGAUACAGUACCAGUGCUCUCCUGAUGUUGAUGUGCCUAAUGCCUUCUUCUUGGGUGGAUCCAUCUCAAGAUCGUGCAUUUCUCUUCCUUAUAAGCAAUUCAAGAUAUCCAUUUCAUCAGCACAACAAAUUCACUAUAAGGUCCAAGUAUAUCUCCAAGAUGCAAUGAGAUCCAACAUAUACAGCAGAGGUAUAGCAAGUGAGCCGGUCACAUUCUGCUUGGCGUAUCUCAUCGUCAUAUCUCCGUUGUGGGUCGUGUGGUUCCUUUUAUCGUCGCGAUUUGGAUCAUAG
rnacentral:rRNA from 1 species